GACGAACGCUGGCGGCGUGCUUAACACAUGCAAGUCGAACGGAAAGGCCCCUUUGGGGGUACUCGAGUGGCGAACGGGUGAGUAACACGUGAGUAACCUGCCCUUGACUUCGGGAUAACUUCAGGAAACUGGGGCUAAUACCGGAUAGGAAUCCUUGCUGCAUGGUGGGGGUUGGAAAGCUUCGGCGGUUUUGGAUGGACUCGCGGCUUAUCGGCUUGUUGGUGGGGUAGUGGCUUACCAAGGCUUUGACGGGUAGCCGGCCUGAGAGGGCGACCGGCCACAUUGGGACUGAGAUGCGGCCCAGACUCCUACGGGAGGCAGCAGUGGGGGAUAUUGCAUAAUGGGCGGAAGCCUGAUGCAGCAACGCCGCGUGCGGGAUGACGGCCUUCGGGUUGUAAACCGCUUUCAGCAGGGGCGAAGCUUGUGGUGACGGUACCUGCAGAAGAAGCACCGGCUAACUACGUG
rnacentral:rRNA from 1 species